rnacentral:lncRNA from 1 species
GUGGUAUGUUCAUACCUUGGGAAUUUCUUCUGUUAUGUGGGGUUCACCUAUAUUGAUUUGGGGUUCAUCUUCGGGGUUCAUUUGUGACGAUUGAUAUUCAUAUUGGGGUGCAUCUUGGGGUUCAUCUGUGACGGUUGUUGCUACUUGGGGUUCAUAUUCGGGGUUCAUUUGUGACGAUUGAUAUUCAUAUUGGGGUUCAUCUUCGGGGUUCAUUUGUGAUGAUGGUUAUUCACUUGGGGUUCAUCUUUGGGGUUUAUUUGUGGUGACUGGCUGGAUAGUUAGUUACUUUAUUGGGGUUUGUUCUGAUAACCUUUUCUUUGGUAUUCGCUGGUUAGCGUUUGUUAUUGUUAGGAGUCGAAUAUAAGUCCAUGUAUUGGCAUUUUGUUUCCU